rnacentral:rRNA from 2 species
UCGCCCUUUUCCGGUUGAUCCUGCCGGACCCGACUGCUAUCGGAUUGAGAUUUAGCCAUGCGAGUCGAACGUCCUCCUGUUGCGGGGGGCGUGGCGUACGGCUCAGUAACACGUAGUCAACCUGCCCUGGAGACGUGGACAACCCCGGGAAACUGGGAUUAAUCCACGAUAGGUCAUCUUAUCUGGAAGGAGAGAUGGCUGAAAGGGGCGCGCGGGCUUCUUCUGCGCGUUCGCUCCAGGAUGGGACUGCGUCCGAUCAGGCUGUUGGCGGGGUAAUGGCCCACCAAACCUGUAACCGGUACGGGCUUUGAGAGAAGGAGCCCGGAGAUGGACACUGAGAUAAGGGUCCAGGUCCUACGGGGCGCAGCAGGCGCGAAACCUUCGCAAUGUGCGAAAGCAUGACGAGGUUAGUCCGAGUGGUAUCCGCUGAGGAGACCUUUUGUCGGCUCUAAAAAGGCCGGCGAAUAAGGGGAGGGCAAGCCUGGUGUCAGCCGCCGCGGUAAUACCAGCUCCUCGAGUGGUCGGGGCGAUUAUUGGGCCUAAAGCAUCCGUAGCCUGUUCCGUAGGUCUUCUGUUAAAUCCAACCGCUUAACGGUUGGCCUGCAGGAGAUACCGCGGGACUAGGAGGCGGGAGAGGCGGACGGUACUUCACGUGUAGGGGUAAAAUCCUUUAAUCCGUGGAAGACCACCAGUGGCGAAGGCGGUCCGCCAGAACGCGCUCGACGGUGAGGGAUGAAAGCUGGUGGAGCGAACCGGAUUAGAUACCCGGGUAGUCCCAGCCGUAAACGAUGCGAGCUAGAUGAUCCAAUCGCAAAUAGCGCUUGGAGUGUCGCAGGGAAGCCGUUAAGCUCGCCGCCUGGGGAGUACGGUCGCAAGACUGAAACUUAAAGGAAUUGGCGGGGGAGCACCACAAGGGGUGAAGCCUGCGGUUCAAUUGGAGUCAACGCCAGGAAACUUACCAGGAGAGACAGCAGGUUGAGGGUCAAGCUGAAGACUUUACCUGACGAGCUGAGAGGAGGUGCAUGGCCGUCGCCAGCUCGUGCCGUGAGGCGUCCUGUUAAGUCAGGCAACGAGCGAGACCCAAAGGGCGAAU